GAUGAACGCUGGCGGCGUGCCUAACACAUGCAAGUCGAACGGAAACAUGGGGGGCUUGAUCCGCUGGCGUUAGGCGCACGGGGGUGUAUUACAUCUGGAUAAGCCCCCUAUAGGGCUGGAGUCAGUUCAAAGACCCGGUGAUAAUGCCGGCUAAUUACUUAUAACACCUGGUUACCUUGUGAACGCGGGUUUUGGUGUCAGUUGUUGAUGGAUCCGCGCCGCAUUAGCUAGUUGGUAAGGUAAGGGCCUACCAAGGAAACGAUCCGUAGCCGACCUGAGAGGGUGAUCGGCCACACUGGAACUGAGACACGGCCCAGACUCCUACGGGAGGCAGCAGUAGGGAAUCUUGCGCAAUGGGCGAAAGCUUGACGGAGCAAUGCCGCGUGUGUGAUGAAGGUCUUCGGAUCGUAAAACUCUGUUAUUAGGGAAGAACAAAUUUGUAAGUAUCUGGUCACGUCUUGACGGUACCGAAUCAGAAAGCAACGGCUAACUACGUG
rnacentral:rRNA from 1 species